UAGGGAAUCUUCCGCAAUGGACGCAAGUCUGACGGAGCAACGCCGCGUGAGUGAAGAAGGAUUUCGGUUCGUAAAACUCUGUUGUUAGAGAAGAACAGCGCAUAGAGUAACUGUUAUGCGUGUGACGGUAUCUAACCAGAAAGCCACGGCUAACUACGUGCCAGCAGCCGCGGUAAUACGUAGGUGGCAAGCGUUGUCCGGAUUUAUUGGGCGUAAAGCGAGCGCAGGCGGUCAAUUAGGUCUGAUGUGAAAGCCCCCGGCUCAACCGGGGAGGGUCAUUGGAAACUGGUUGACUUGAGUGCAGAAGAGGAGAGUGGAAUUCCAUGUGUAACGGUGAAAUGCGUAGAUAUAUGGAGGAACACCAGUGGCGAAGGCGACUCUCUGGUCUGUAACUGACGCUGAGGUUCGAAAGCGUGGGUAGCAAACAGG
rnacentral:rRNA from 1 species